CCUAGUCUGCUGUGCUUUCCAGGAGAGGAGAAUUAGCAUCAAAACUAUCCACAACAGGGGCUAUCCACAACAACAUCCUUCAGGAGUUGGUGCUUUCCUUCCAAGAUAUACAAAGUGAGGGAGACCUGGUUUUUCUGGCCACCUUAUUAACUCUAAAAGAUCAGUUGCCUGCCCGGUUGCCUGCUCGCGUGCCAAGUGUGCAUCAGCAGCACUUCCUGUGUUCAGAGAGUCCUUCUGCACGAACUGUCACAGGGCAACACCGAUGUCUGGCCUUUCUGCUGCUGCCUGGAAGUCCCCACAGCAAGCGGGCUCUGAACUCGUGGAAACCGCACCCACAUGCGGAAGAUUGAAACACCAGGAUUCCUGCUGACUGCCAUUGGACGACUACAGCUAGGCAUGCAUACUCUGACGUGGGCUCUUUACCAGCCACCCUCUGCAGGACGUCUCCUACGUGAAUAUGAUUUCUAUCAUCAUCAUCAUCAUCGUUGUCGUCAUCAUCGUCAUCAUCAUUAAUUUUCAUAUACAAAGAGAUAAACCUUGAGAUACUUAGAGACUUUUUCUCCUAUUCUCUUGAGAGUGUGGCUGCUCCUUCACAUGGGGAAAACUACACUGAAUAUGAUUUCUAACCUGUGUCUGAUUAUUAUUAAAUUAAAACGCACCAGUGUCUUCUGCA